AUUGAACGCUGGCGGAAUGCUUUACACAUGCAAGUCGAACGGAAGCACGGACUUCGGUCUGGUGGCGAGUGGCGAACGGGUGAGUAAUGUAUCGGAACGUGCCCAGUCGUGGGGGAUAACGUAGUGAAAAUUACGCUAAUACCGCAUACGAUCUAUGGAUGAAAGCGGGGGAUCGCAAGACCUCGCGCGAUUGGAGCGGCCGAUAUCAGAUUAGGUAGUUGGUGGGGUAAAGGCCCACCAAGCCAACGAUCUGUAGCUGGUCUGAGAGGACGACCAGCCACACGGGAACGGAGACACGGUCCAGACUCCUACGGGAGGCAGCAGUGGGGAAUUUUGGACAAUGGGCGAAAGCCUGAUCCAGCCAUUCCGCGUGCAGGAUGAAGGCCCUCGGGUUGUAAACUGCUUUUGUACAGAACGAAAAGGUUUCUACUAAUACUAGGAGCUCAUGACGGUACUGUAAGAAUAAGCACCGGCUAACUACGUGCCAGCCGCCGCCGUAA
rnacentral:rRNA from 1 species